rnacentral:rRNA from 1 species
AUACGGAGGAUGCAAGCGUUAUUCGGAAUCACUGGGCGUAAAGGACGCGUAGGCGGGUUGGCAAGUCAGAUGUGAAAUCCUACAGCUUAACUGUAGAACUGCAUUUGAAACUGCUAACCUAGAGUAUGGGAGGGGGAGAUGGAAUUAGUGGUGUAGGGGUAAAAUCCGUAGAUAUCACUAGGAAUACCGAAAGCGAAGGCGAUCUCCUGGAACAUAACUGACGCUAAGGCGUGAAAGCGUGGGGAGCAAACAGGAUUAGAUACCCUAGUAGUCC